rnacentral:rRNA from 1 species
CCUACGGGGGGCUGCAGUGGGGAAUAUUGGACAAUGGGCGAAAGCCUGAUCCAGCCAUGCCGCGCGUGUGAAGAAGGCCUUCGGGUUGUAAAGCACUUUCAGUGGGGAAGAAAGCCUUGGGGCUAAUACCCUCGAGGAAGGACAUCACCCACAGAAGAAGCACCGGCUAACUCCGUGCCAGCAGCCGCGGUAAUACGGAGGGUGCGAGCGUUAAUCGGAAUUACUGGGCGUAAAGCGCGCGUAGGCGGUCUGAUAAGCCGGUUGUGAAAGCCCCGGGCUUAACCUGGGAACGGCAUCCGGAACUGUCAGGCUAGAGUGCAGGAGAGGAAGGUAGAAUUCCCGGUGUAGCGGUGAAAUGCGUAGAGAUCGGGAGGAAUACCAGUGGCGAAGGCGGUCUUCUGGACUGACACUGACGCUGAGGUGCGAAAGCGUGGGUAGCAAACAGGAUUAGAUACCCGAGUAGUC